CCUACGGGAGGCAGCAGUGGGGAAUUUUGGACAAUGGGCGCAAGCCUGAUCCAGCAAUGCCGCGUGAGUGAAGAAGGCCUUCGGGUUGUAAAGCUCUUUUGUCAGGGAAGAAACGGCUGAGGUUAAUACCUUUGGCUAAUGACGGUACCUGAAGAAUAAGCACCGGCUAACUACGUGCCAGCAGCCGCGGUAAUACGUAGGGUGCAAGCGUUAAUCGGAAUUACUGGGCGUAAAGCGUGCGCAGGCGGUUUUGUAAGUCUGACGUGAAAUCCCCGGGCUCAACCUGGGAAUUGCGUUGGAGACUGCAAGGCUGGAGUCUGGCAGAGGGGGGUAGAAUUCCACGUGUAGCAGUGAAAUGCGUAGAGAUGUGGGGGAACACCGAUGGCGAAGGCAGCCCCCUGGGUCAAGACUGACGCUCAUGCACGAAAGCGUGGGGAGCAAACAGGAUUAGAUACCCUGGUAGUCCACGCCCUAAACGAUGUCUACUAGUUGUCGGGUCUUAAUUGACUUGGUAACGCAGCUAACGCGUGAAGUAGACCGCCUGGGGAGUACGGUCGCAAGAUUAAAACUCAAAUGAAUUGACGG
rnacentral:rRNA from 1 species